rnacentral:misc_RNA from 1 species
UCACCCCUCAAGCCCCGUGCUUGGUGUUGGACGGCUUGGUCGCGUGAAUCGACCCCUCCCAAAGACAAUGGCGGCGGCCUGUGGAUCCCCCGGUACACUGAGCUUUCAACCGAGCACGUACCGGACGAGGGCGCCCAGCACGCGGUCCUCUCCUCUCAGUAGGAAACUCUUCGCACAAA